ACUGUGAUUGAAGGUCGAUUAAUCAUCACUGGGCACUCGAUGGGAGGAUCCGUUGCUUCUCUCUUCACCUUAUGCCUGCUAGAAGUCAUUAAUAUAUCAAAACCCAAAUGCCGCCCCAUUUGCAUCACCUUUGGUUCACCCCUCAUAGGCGACUUUGGCCUCCAACACUCCAAUUGGAAUUCUUUCUUCUUGCAUGUAGUGUCCAACCAAGAUCUAGUCCCCGGACUCUUCCUCCCAUCCGGCAGAUCUCCUCCCACAUCCUCCCAUUCACAAACUACUGGUUACAAGCCCUUUGGGACAUAUCUCUUGUGCUCUGAACUUGGUUGUGCUUGUUUUGACAACCCUGAUUUAAUUUUGGAAUUGCUGAAAGUCAUAUCAUCAGAGGUUGCCGGAGGAUUGCGGGAUGUUGAUUACAGGAAGAUUUUAAUAAACCUCAAGGAGAGGGCAAUCUUCAAGGGACUUCAGCAGGUGGGUGAAAGGUUUGCAGAUCCCUUGUCAGCUGGGAUCGUCAUGGACCUUGAGAUAAUUGGAUUUGAUCAAACAAAGGUAAACAGCUUUCUCCCAAUUAAUGAUGUAGUAUGGUUUACACUCAACUUCACCAAAACCUGCAACAACUGCCCUAUUUAGAUUUGCCUUCCUGUUCUUUGGGUUCUUCUAUAACUUCUCAUUUUUUAAAUUCAUGGCAGCUGUUGCGGCACAACAUUGAUAUCAACACUGUGAUAAGGAUACUGGGAGUGGAAGCCAGAAUCCUAGCCCACAAAAAUAAAGCUUCUGAUGCCAAGAAACUGAAUGACAUAAAAAUACACAUGGCCCAGCUAGAAUGGUAUAAGAAGAAAUCAAAAGAUCUGAACAAGGGUUACUACGACUGCUUCAAAAACCAGGGGUCAAAAAGGGACAUUAAAAUUGAACAGUAUAGGGGACACCUCACAAUAUACUGGAAAGACAUGGUUGCACAAGUACAGAGGAAGCCCCAGAAGGAAGGAGCAUCAUUUCGAACCAGUUGGCUCUAUCCAGGGACAACUUAUAGAAGAAUGGUUGAACCACUGGACAUUGCUGCCUUCUACAGAGAGGGUAGAACAGACUACAUAAACAAUGGAAGAUCUCCUCAUUACAAGCUGUUGCAGCAAUGGUAUGAGGAAGAUGUGAAGCCCCCAUCCAGAGAUAAGCUCGAUUCCAAGAAACUAAAGGUGUCUGGUAUCCUAACUGAGGAUUCUUUGUUUUGGGCACAUGUGGAGGAGGCUCUCUUGUCAUGCGAAUCGCUCAAGAGUGCAAACUCUACUCUUGAGCAGAGAAAAUCAUCAUGGGAUAAUCUGGUUAAGUUUGGGGAGUAUGUAAUGGAACAGAUUGGAAACUAUGCAGUGUCCCCUGAGAUUUUCUUGGGGGAAAGCAGCUUCAUGAAAUGGUGGGGAGUGUAUGAGGACUACAUAGAUGCUUCCAAUAAUUCCUAUGGGUCACCAUUGAUCAGCUUUAUGAAGAACCGUAGUUAUAGACUGUAUGGUUAGAGGGCAAUCCAGUUUGUGUAUUGUGUUUAUUGUAUUGUGAGCAUUCAAUAGAUAAAACUAGAAAGAGCGUGACCUUUUUAUGACAACUUUAGAAACCAGGGGUUAAAAGAGACAUUACAAACUGAAGUUUUUGAGAGGAAACCUCAAGAGUAUACUGGGAAGCCAUGGUGGAACAAGUAGAGAGGAAGCCUCAGAAGGAAGGAGCAAUGGUUGAACCACUUGACAUUGUUGCCUACUACAGGGAGGGUGUAAGAAACAACAUAACCGAGGGAAGAUCUGAACGUUAAACGUUGUCCAAUUAUUAUAAAUGUCUUAUACAUUACGUGUGAAAAUACCAAAAAAAAUUAUAUUCAACAUUUAUGUUUGUAUACAAGCAAUAUUUUGGAUAGUUUGAUAUAAAAAACAAAUGAAGAAAAUGAAGAAAAACAUACAAAUAUAUUUACAAUGGACAAACUUAUACAAUUAGUAUAAAUGUCUUGUAUAUUUAGUACAAAUGUCUCGUACUUUGUAAAAAUAUAAAAAUAUAGUAUUUGACUUUUAUAUAUGUGUGAAAAUGUAAAAAGAAAAAGAAAAAUAGUUAGAGCAUUUGGUACCGUGAGUGAUGACUUCACCUAAAGAAAGGUUAAUGAAUAUUAUGGUCUCGAUGGAAGAGCGACUCCGGUAAAAUAUAUGGAUUAAAUUGAUGCUUUUCUUUUGACGAUGAAGUAGUUGAGUUAUGAAUACGAGGUUUUGCUAACAGCAUUGAAGGCAAGGAUUCCCUAAUAUACUCCAAUUCAUAUUCAAUUUGUAGACCUUCAACUAACUACUCUUGCUAACGAGCAUAUCCAAGUCAAUACAUAAGAUUAAUUAAGAUUAAGUAUUACGUAUGAUAAUUGAAACCCUAUUUAAAUAAAUAAUGACACAUAUAUAAAAAAUAUAUAUAUUUUUAAAAAAAUAAAUAACAAUUUAGAGAAUUUCAUAACUUAGCAUCAAACCUAUUGUAAGAAAGAGUAUUAUACAAUGUAGGGUUUAGGAUCCAAGUCAACCUAAGAUCAAAUUUAAGUUUUAAGAUCAAUUCACAUUCAAAACUAAGGUUUUAAGUUUCAAAAAUAUAUUUCUUAAACCAAUUAAAUGGAAAAAAGAAAAUUACAAAGAAAAUUUCUCCCUCAUCAGUUUCUUUUAUCUUGAAAACUAAAGGAAAUAUAUAUCAAUAUUUGAGAUGGAAAUUCAUAAUCUUAGGUGGUGUUUGUUUUUUUGGCUUUUUGCUGAAAACUAUUUAGUUUUAGAAUUUAGGUUUUUUUUUUUUUUUACUUUUUCAUGACUUAUAAUAAACUUUUUACUAAAUAGAAAAAACCAAAAUAUGUGGUUUUUUCUAAAUAGAAAAAAUAACACAAUGGUUUUUUUUACUUUUUAAUACUUAAUAGAAAUAAAAUACUACAAAAACAAACAUCUUAAUAUUUAAUACUAUUAAGUAUUAAGGUUCUAUUUAGAAUUAAGUAAAAAAACAAACACCACCUUAGAAACACAAAGAACAAAGAGAGUAUGAAGAGACCAUACCAUGAGAGAUUUUCCGAAAGGUUGGUAAACCAUGGUAAUCACCUUUGAGUCUUGCUGAGAAAAACAAACCUUAUUUAUUUUUAUUUUUUUAUCAUUUUUUCUCUUGUGUGGUGUACAUUUAAGAAAAACAAAUCUCAAAAAAAAAAAAAAACACAAACCAAAUAAUGCCAGAAUUUGGGUUGAGAAACACCCAAAAGAUAGUGGCCCAAUACAUGUGCCUAAGAAAAUCUUCAUGAGCCGAUAAACAUAGUCACAAAACUAGUAACAGCCUUGUAGCCAUAGUUGGUGUAGUAUGAGCAAGUGGGGUAUGAAGUAGGUAGGUGAGUAUUGCAAUGAAAUUUCCAGCACUGCUUCCUGAAUUAAGAAAUCACAUACCCAAGUCUUAGUCGUCGUCGUCGUCGUACCGUGUGAGAACCGGGAAGAAUCUUUGCUCGUAGACUGGCUUUUGUAGUCUUUCUUUAACAAUUACAAGUUAUCUGAAUUCCCUUCAUCCUCCUAUAUAAUAUUGUUUUGGUCUUGUUCUUGUUGCAUUGUGGCUAGGCAUCUCCAUGGAAGGAAGGAGGAUGAAUCAAGUUCCUUUGUAUGAAUCAAUUUCUCUGCUCUUUUUUUUUUUCAAUCCUUGAAUCGAAUCAUUGCUUAGUUCUUGCUUUAAUUUCUCCAUUUUCUGUUGGGUCUUUGAUUGCAGGUUUAGCUCUGCAAGAGAACUGGGAAAUUUAAUUGUGACCUCCAAUCUAAUCGACUCUGCUUUGACUAAAAUUCUUGAGCUUCAAAGAGACCAAACAGCCUUGCUUUCCCCCGUUCAAUACAGAGUUUUUUUAUCCAUCUCCCAACUGCACAAUUGUAGCUUUUGUCUCUUCACCUGACUGCACUCAAAACCCUCUUCCUGGACAAGGAGAUUUAGUUCCCUCUCCUCUCUUUGACUUCCUCUGCACCGAAGAAUACAAGUCCGUCUCCAUUAACAGAGCUGCAUUAACCCUCUUUACCUCUCUCCACGAUCAUCUCUCUGGACUAAAAACUCAGGUCAAAAUAUGAUAGUUGUUUUUAUUUUCGUUUCCUUUUUGUUAACAAUUGUGAGACAUGAAACAGCUUGACCAUGAGAUCUCUCUCAUAGAGUCAAACUACCUGAAGAAGAAGAAGACGUUACACAUAUCCAUCUGCGUUGCAUCAUCGCAUUACCCAUUGAUCGGUUGUGAUUCAACUCUUAAUAGGAAGACAGUAGAACUGGUGUUGGUAUCUGUUUUUAGAUCAGCUUAUAUGUAUCUUGUUGCUAAAAAGGGAAUGUUUAGAAGUGAGAUUAAUGGGAUUAUUCUGACAUGGAUUUCAUAUGGUUACCUGUUUUGCAGUUGACUGUGAUUGAAGGUCAAUUAAUCAUCACUGGGCACUCCCUGGGAGGAGCCGUUGCUUCUCUCUUCACCUUAUGCCUGCUAGAUGAAAAUUUAUUAAAACCCAAAUGCCGCCCCUUUUGUAUCACCUUUGGUUCACCCCUCGUCGGCGGCUUUGGCCUCCAACACUCCAUAUGGAAUUCUUUCUUCCUGCAUGUAGUGUCUAACCAAGACCCAGUCCCCGGUCUCUUCCUCCCAUCUGGCAGAGGCAGAUCUACGCCCACAUCCUCCCAUUCACAAACUACCGGUUACAAGCCCUUUGGGACAUAUCUCUUGUGCUCUGAACUUGGUUGUGCUUGUUUUGACAACCCUGAUUUAAUUUUGGAAUUGCUGAAAGUCAUAUCAUCAGAGGUUGCCGGAGGAUUGCAGGAUGUUGAUUAUGGGGAGAUUUUAAGAAACCUCAAGGAGAGGGCAAUCUGCAAGGGACUUCCGCAGGUGGGUGAAAGGUUUGCAAAUCCAUUUUCAGCUGGGAUCAUCAUGGAACUUGAGACAAUUGGAUUUAAUCAAACAAAGGUAAACAGCUUUCUCCCAUCUAAUGAUGUUAUGGAACAUGGUUUACACCUCAUUAAAUACUGCAACAACUGCCCUAUUUAGAUUUACCUUCUUGUUCUUUGGGAUUUUCCAUAACUAGACUCAUUUUUUAAUUUCAUGGCAGCUGCUGCAGCAUAACAUUGAUAUCGAGACUGUGAUAAGCGCAAUGGAAGCGGAAGCAAGAAACCUAACCCAGAAAAAUAAAGCUUCCGAUGCCAAGAAACUGAAUGAAAUAAAAAUAGACAUGACCCGGCUAGAAUUGUAUAAGAAGAAUUCGAACAUGGGUUACUACGAUUGCUUCAAAAACCAGGGGUCUAAAAGGGACAUCCACGUUGAACAGUUUAGGGUAAACCUCACAGGGUACUGGGAAGGCAUGGUUGCACAAAUACAGAGGAAGCCUCAUAAGGAAGGAGCAACAUUUCGAACCCGUUGGCUCUAUGCAGGGACGGUUUAUAGAAGAAUGGUUGAACCACUGGACAUUGCUGCCUUCUACAGAGAGGGUAGAAAAGACUACAUGAAUAAAAGAUCUGCACAUUACAAGCUGUUGCAGGAAUGGUAUGAGGAAGAUGUGAAACCCCCCUCUAGAGAUAAGCUUGAUUCCAAGAAGCAAAAGGUGUCCAGUAUCCUAACUGAGGAUUCUUGCUUUUGGGCACAUGUGGAGGAGGCUAUCUUGUCAUGCGAAUUGCUCAAGAGUGAAAACUGUAAUCUUGAGGAGGGAAAAUCAUCAUGGGAUAAUCUGGUUAAGUUCGAGGAGUAUGUAAUGGAACAGAUUGACAACUAUGCAGUGUCCCCUGAGAUUUUCUUGGAGAAAAGCAGCUUCAUGAAAUGGAGGGGACUGUAUGAGGGCUACAUAGAUACUCGCAGUAAUUCCCAUAGCUCGCCAUUGAUCAGCUUUAUGAAGAAUCGUAGUUAUAGACAAUAUGGAUAGAGGGGUAAUCCAGUUUGUGUGUUGUGUGUAUUGUUUUGUGAGCAUUCAAUGGAUAGAACUAGAAAGAGUGUGACCUUUUCCUUUUUUUUUUCAGUUGCUGCCCAUAUUCUCAGCACUAUUUUCUUCCUUCUUUUCCUCAGUUUUUUUGUUAAGAAAUGAAUAUUAUGAUGUUGCCGGGAUGCACUUUCAUUUUUGUUCCAUUACAUUGUGUUUUAUUCAUAUCCUAAACAAAUAAAUGUAAACAAGAAAAUCAAAUGAGACUUCAAAGAGUCUGUUCCUUUUAAAGCAAGGGAAAAAAAGGACAUGUUUGUUUACUUCCACAGCUGGGUAGAUUCAACUCCACCAAAAUUGGCAACAACUUCCCAUUGAAAAAUUCCUUUUAAGCUUGAAUGACAUAAAACUAGAUAUGUUCCAGCUAGAAUGGUACAAGAAAGAAAUCAAAAGAUGAGCACAAUGGGUUAUUAUGACAGCUUUAGAAACCUGGGGUGUAAAAGAGACAUUAAAAUGGAACCGAGGGGAAGACAUUGUAGAACAAGUAAAGAGGAAGCCUCACCAGGAAGGGCAGCUUUGCAAACCCUCUGGCUCUGUACAGGAACGAAUUAUAGAAAGAUGGUUGAACCACUUGACAUUGCUGCCUACCACAGAGAGGGUGGAAGAAACUACAUAACCAAUGGAGGAUGUAAACAUUACACGCUAUUAGAGCAAUGAUGCAAUGAAGAGAAGGGGACUUUGUCUUCCAAUAAUUUAAGAAAAUAAAACCAAAUAAUGCCAGAAUUUGGGUUGAGAAACACCCAAAAGAUAGUGGCCCAAUAUGAAGUAGUCACAAAACUAGUAACAGCCUUGUGGCCAUAGUUGGUGUAGUAUGAGCAAGUGGGGUAUGAAGUAGGUAGGUGAGUAUUGCAAUGAAAUUUCCAGCACUGCUUCCUGAAUUAAGAAAUCACAUACUCAAGUCUUAAUCGUUGUCAUCAUACCGUGUGAGAACCGAGGAAGAAUCUUUGCUCUUAGACUGGAUUUUGUAGUCUUUCUUUAACAAUUACAAGUUAUCUGAAUUCCCUUCAUCCUCCUAUAUAAUAUUGUUUUUGGUCUUGUUCUUGUUGCAUUGUGGCUAGGCAUCUCCAUGGGAGGAAGGAGGAUGAAUCAAGUUCCUUUGUAUGAAUCAAUUUCUCUGCUCUUUUUUUUUUCAAUCCUUGAAUCGAAUCAUUGCUUAGUUCUUGCUUUAAUUUCUCCAUUUUCUGUUGGGUCUUUGAUUGCAGGUUUAGCUCUGCAAGAAAACUGGGAAAUUUAAUUGUGACCUCCAAUCUAAUCGACUCUGCUUUGACUAAAAUUCUUGAGCUUCAAAGAGACCAAACAGCCUUGCCUUCCCCCGUUCAAUACAGAGUUUUUUAUCCAUCUCCCAACUGCACAAUUGUAGCUUUUGUCUCUUCACCUGACUGCACUCAAAACCCUCUUCCUGGACAAGGAGAUUUAGUUCCCUCUCCUCUCUUUGACUUCCUCUGCACCGAAGAAUACAAGUCCGUCUCCAUUAACAGAGCUGCAUUAACCCUCUUUACCUCUCUCCACGAUCAUCUCUCUGGACUAAAAACUCAGGUCAAAAUAUGAUAGUUGUUUUUAUUUUCGUUUCCUUUUUGUUAACAAUUGGGAGACAUGAAACAGCUUGACCAUGAGAUCUCUCUCAUAGAGUCAAACUACCUGAAGAAGAAGAAGACGUUACACAUAUCCAUCUGCGCUGCAUCAUCGCAUUACCCAUUGAUCGGUUGUGAUUCAACUCUUAAUAGGAAGACAGUAGAACUGGUGUUGGUAUCUGUUUUUAGAUCAGCUUAUAUGUAUCUUGUUGCUAAAAAGGGAAUGUUUAGAAGUGAGAUUAAUGGGAUUAUUCUGACAUGGAUUUCAUAUGGUUACCUGUUUUGCAGUUGACUGUGAUUGAAGGUCGAUUAAUCAUUACUGGGUACUCGAUGGGAGGAUCCGUUGCUUCUCUCUUCACCUUAUGCCUGUUAGAAGUCAUCAAUUUAUCAAAACCCAAAUGCCGCCCCAUUUGUAUCACCUUUGGUUCACCCCUCAUAGGCGACUUUGGCCUCCAACACUCCAAUUGGAAUUCUUUCUUCUUGCAUGUAGUGUCCAACCAAGAUCUAGUCCCCGGACUCUUCCUCCCAUCCGACAGAUCUCCUCCCACAUCCUCCCAUUCACAAACUACUGGUUACAAGCCCUUUGGGACAUAUCUCUUGUGCUCUGAACUUGGUUGUGCUUGUUUUGACAACUCUGAUUUAAUUUUGGAAUUGCUGAAAGUCAUAUCAUCAGAGGUUGCCAGAGGAUUGCGGGAUGUUGAUUACAGGAAGAUUUUAAGAAACCUCAAGGAGAGGGCAAUCUGCAAGGGACUUCCGCAGGUGGGUGAAAGGUUUGCAAAUCCAUUUUCAGCUGGGAUCAUCAUGGAACUUGAGACGAUUGGAUUUAAUGAAACAAAGGUAAACAGCUUUCUCCCAUCUACUGAUGUUAUGGAACAUGGUUUACACAUCAUUAAAUACUGCAACAACUGCCCUAUUUAGAUUUAGGGCAAUGAUGAAAAUAUCAGUAAUCACGGAUAUAUCAGUAUUUCGAUUUUACGGAUAUAUCGGAUAUAUCGGAGAUAUAUCGGUAGAUAUUUUGAAAAAAAAUAUCGGCAAGCUUAAAAUUGUUAAAAACUCAUGAAAAUAUAAGAAAAUCUCAUAAUAAUAUAAUUAAAAGUAUAAUAGACAUUUUAAAGUUAUUUUAUUGAAAAUUUUGAUAUAUGUAUAACAUGAUUUAUCAUAUUUGAUAAUAAUAUCGUAUGCGUCGAUAAAAAUAUGAAUUUUAUAAGUGUACAUUUAUUAUUAAAUUACACCUAAUAUUAUGAUAUCUGAUUAUAAUAUGUCUAAUUUUAAAAUAUAUAUUAGUAUUAAAAUAUGAUCCAUUUAAUUCAAUUGUAUUAAACAAUAUAAAAUAAAUAAUGAUAUAUAUAUAUAUAUAUAUAAUUUUUUAAUAUUUAAUUAAUUAUUAAUGAUAUUAAAAACAUUAUGAAGAAAAUUAUAUAAUUUUUUAAUUUUUGGUAAUUAAUUAAAAGACUUUGCAUUUAAUUAUAAAUUAAUUAUAAUUAAUUUACUCUUUAAAAUAUUCUUAUAUUUUCUUUAUAUAAUGAAUUUAAGUAUAUAUAUAGUUGUUGCAUAUUAUAUAUUAAAGGACAACUUAGCCCAAGUGGUAAGCGAGUGAACCCCAAUGUGAGGCAUUGUAGCACGUGCACUGUAGCAUCACUGUAGCGACUCUGACUUUCGUUGACCCGCAUUGACUACACGAUAUAUCGGAGAAAAAUCACUGAUUUAUCGCCAAAUCACCAAUAAAUCGCCGAUUUCUCGCGAUAAAUACCAAAAUAUAGUGUCGAAACCCUUCGAUACACGAUUUUUCGGCGCAUUUUCUUACUUGGAUUUACCUUUUUGUUCUUUGGGAUCUUCCAUGACUCAUUUUUUAAUGCCAUUUUAUUUUCCUUUUUGUUUCUAAAUUUUUAAAAAAUCGUUUUCACUUCUUUUUUUUAAGAAAAUUUUGGCAAAUUUUGAAAAUAUAAUAUUAGUGUUUUCACUUCUUUCUUUUUUUUUUUUUUCUUUUUUUUUUUAAACUCAAUUUUCUAAAAAAUGAAAAUAGAAAAACAUUGUCUAAACAUGUUUGUAAACUUAAUUUUAUUUUUUUAUAAAUGAAAAAAAAAAUCUAAAUGAGUAAGGCUUUAUUAAUUUUAAUUUUUUUCUUUUCCUUAUAUUUUCUUAUUUUAUUCCAAAUUUUCUUGCAACCAAACAUAAUCUAAAUGUUUACAACUUUUAUUGUAAGGAAUGAAUGACACUACUUUGUGAACUUUUAUGAUAAUAUUUUGAAUCAUAAAUUGUGUUUUUUUUAGUAAUAUCAAUUUUAUUACCAAUGACUUAAUUGUUAAUAACAAAAUAUAAUAUUUAUAAAUAUUUUUAUUCUCAACAGGCUACAAUUUUUACUCUUGUGAUAAAAAAAAUUUUGUCAUAAAUUACACAUUAUGAUGAGUUUUUCUAUUUUCCUUAUCAGCCAAUUCAACAAAUAUCAUAUAUAUUGUAAUGGCUAACAAAUUUUCACAUAAAUUUUUUAUAAGAUAAAGUAGAAUGGAAUUAUUCAAUUUCAAAAAAAAAAAAAAUGGUACCUAAUGAAAAAGAUAAAAUAUAUAGAUCAUCUCGAAGAAAUCAGGAAAGAUAAAUGAUGAGACCAUAUAUAGGACCCUUGAUGGAGACUAUUUUAAUUGAAGUGGUGUGCUCCUUCCGACUCAGAACAUGUUCAGCAUUGCACACAAACUAACAUCGUCGAUCUUGAGUAUGAAAAAGGUGAUUAGAUUCCAAGGUUGUCGUUUGUCCCAACUCCUCAUAUUAGAGGUGAUGCUCAAGCUAACGUGCCUCGCAGUUGAGCCCCGGCCAAUCGGUCUAAUAUGCUUUUCCAAUGGUGAGUUUCACUGCCACCAUGUAUUACAUUAAUUCCGAUAGCGCACAAGUUGUGUUUGUGCUAUUGCUUUUUGCCCUCACAAACAUAUACACAAGAGACAUUCAGACCAGAUCUGUUCUACCAUCCUCUAGGAAAGCAUUGUAGGUCAUUUGAAAUUGGGAUUUCAGCACCAGAGUCAAAUUGCCUUCCUUCCUGAAAGAUGAGCAUUUUUUAUACUCUUACAUCGGCUUUUAUGGAAAUGAAAUCAGCUUCUCAUUCUGUUACAUUUUUCAAUUUUGCUGCCUAUAACUGCUCACUGCCUGUUUGUGAGACAUUAUCCAGAUUUUCCCUGAUCAAUUAUAGAGAGGUCAUUGGACUCAUCCAUGAUUGGAAUUUCCUGUUAUCAUUAUUUGCAAAUCAUCAACCAUUUGUCAUGAUAUCUUAAGUUAAGCUGAGCACGAAUUUCAGCUAAGAUCCUCAGAACUAGAAAUAUGCACUGCAGGUAUUACUUGAUAUGUGAAUAUCCAAUACAAUAUUUUUUUACUAAGAGGAAUACGAAUUUGAAACACUUUCCAAUAAUUUAUCAAGUCAUAUUUUCGUGCUGUCGUGAUACAUGUGUCUACUGUAUGCAUGGCUUUUCUUUUCUACACAUGCCUUUAUCUUUGCACAUGACUCUUUUGAUACACGCCAGCAUCAAGGCAAUUGCCUAAAUCUAAAUCACAUCCUUUGUGUCACGUCUUCCUUGUUACCACGGUCCUCUUGUACACCAUGGUCCCUUAAUGUAACUUGUGCCACAAGCCCUUUGUGCAUGAAUUCAAAUUGUUCAAUCAUUUCGCCAUUUACACCUUUUAAGGUCCAAUAAGCGUAUACAAGAGACUACACUCAUUCUAGAUGAUAAAGUACAUUCAACUAACUACUCUUGCUAAUGAGCAUAUCCAAGUCAAUACAUAAGAUUAAUUAUUACAUAUGGUAAUUGAAACCCUGUUUAAAUAAAUAGUGACACAAAUAUAAAAAAUAUAUAUAUUUAAAAAUAAAUAAAUAACAAUUUAGAGAAUUUCAUAACUUAGUAUCAAACCUAUUGUAGGAAAGAGUAUUAUACAAUGUAGGGUUUAGGAUCAAAGUUAACCUAAGAUCAAUUUUAAGUUUUAAGACCAAUUCAAAUUCAAAACUAAGGUUUUAAGUUUCAAAAAUAUAUCUCUUAAACCAAUUAAAUAGAAAAAAGAAAAUUACAAAGAAAAUUUCUUCCUCAUCGGUUUCUUUUAUCUUGAAAACUAAAGGAAAUAUAUAUCAAUAUUUGAGAUGGAAAUUCAUAAUCUUAGAAACACAAAGAACAAAGAGAGUAUGAAGAGACCAUACCAUGAGAGAUUUUCCAAAAGGUUGGUAAACCAUGGUAAUCACCUUUGAGUUUUGCUGAGAAAAACAAACCUUAAUUUUUAUUUUUAUUUUUUUAUCAUUUUUUCUCUUGUGGUGUACAUUUAAGAAAAACAAAUCUUAAAAAAAAAAAAAAAAAAACCAAAUAAUGCCAGAAUUUGGGUUGAGAAACACCCAAAAGAUAGUGGCCCAAUACAUGUGCCUAAGAAAAUCUUCAUGAGCCGAUAAACAUAGUCACAAAACUAGUAACAGCCUUGUAGCCAUAGUUGGUGUAGUAUGAGCAAGUGGGGUAUGAAGUAGGUAGGUGAGUAUUGCAAUGAAAUUUCCAGCACUGCUUCCUGAAUUAAGAAAUCACAUACCCAAGUCUUAGUCGUCGUCGUCGUACCGUGUGAGAACCGGGAAGAAUCUUUGCUCGUAGAGUGGCUUUUGUAGUCUUUCUUUAACAAUUACAAGUUAUCUGAAUUCCCUUCAUCCUCCUAUAUAAUAUUGUUUUUGGUCUUGUUCUUGUUGCAUUGUGGCUAGGCAUCUCCAUGGAAGGAAGGAGGAUGAAUCAAGUUCCUUUGUAUGAAUCAAUUUCUCUGCUCUUUUUCUUUUCAAUCCGUGAAUCGAAUCAUUGCUUAGUUCUUGCUUUAAUUUCUCCAUUUUCUGUUGGGUCUUUGACUGCAGGUUUAGCUCUGCAAGAGAACUGGGAAAUUUAAUGGUGACCUCCAAUCUAAUCGACUCUGCUUUGACUAAAAUUCUUGAGCUUCAAAGAGACCAAACAGCCUUGCUUUCCUCCGUUCAAUACAGAGUUUUUUAUCCAUCUCCCAAGUGCACAAUUGUAGCUUUUGUCUCUUCACCUGACUGCACUCAAAACCCUCUUCCUGGACAAGGAGAUUUAGUUCCGUCUCCUCUCUUUGACUUCCUCUGCACCGAAGAAUACAAGUCCGUCUCCAUUAACAGAGCUGCAUUAACCCUCUUUACCUCUUUCCACGAUCAUCUCUCUGGACUAAAAACUCAGGUCAAAAUAUGAUAGUUGUUUUUAUUUUCGUUUCCUUUUUGUUAACAAUUGUGAGACAUGAAACAGCUUGACCAUGAGAUCUCUCUCAUAGAGUCAAACUACCUGAAGAAGAAGAAGACGUUACACAUAUCCAUCUGCGUUGCAUCAUCGCAUUACCCAUUGAUCGGUUGUGAUUCAACUCUUAAUAGGAAGACAGUAGAACUGGUGUUGGUAUCUGUUUUUAGAUCAGCUUAUAUGUAUCUUGUUUCUAAAAAAGGUAAGUUUAGAAGUGAGAUUAAUGGGAUUAUUCUGACAUGGAUUCCAUAUGGUUACCUGUUUUGCAGUUGACUCAGAUUGAAGGUCAAUUAAUCAUCACUGGGCACUCCCUGGGAGGAUCCGUUGCUUCUCUCUUCACCUUAUGCCUGCUAGAUGGAAAUUUAUUAAAACCCAACUGCCGCCCCUUUUGUAUCACCUUUGGUUCACCCCUCAUCGGCGGCUUUGGCCUCCAACACUCCAUAUGGAAUUCUUUCUUCCUGCAUGUAGUGUCUAACCAAGACCCAGUCCCCGGUCUCUUCCUCCCAUCUGGCAGAGGCAGAUCUACGCCCACAUCCUCCCAUUCACAAACUACCGGUUACAAGCCCUUUGGGACAUAUCUCUUGUGCUCUGAACUUGGUUGUGCUUGUUUGGAAAAGCCUGAUUUAAUUUUGGGAUUGCUGAAAGUCAGAUCAUCCGAGGUUGCCGGAGGAUUGCAGGAUGUUGAUUAUGGGGAGAUUUUAAGAAACCUCAAGGAGAGGGCAAUCUGCAAGGGACUUCAGCAGGUGGGUGAAAGGUUUGCAGAUCCUUUUACAGCUGGGAUCAUCAUGGACCUUGAGAUAAUUGGAUUUGAUCAAACAAAGGUAAACAGCUAGCUUUCUCCCAUCUAAUGAUGUUAUGAAACAUGGUUUACACUUCACCAAAUACUGCAACAACUGCCCUAUUUAGAUUUGCCGUCUUGUUCUUUGGGAUCUUCCAUAACUAGACUCAUUUUUUAAUUUCAUGGCAGCUGCUGCAGCAUAACAUUGAUAUCGAGACUGUGAUAAGCACAAUGGAAGAGGAAGCCAGAAACCCAACCAAAAAAAAUAAAGCUUUCGAUGCCAAGAUUCUGAAUCACAAAAAAAAAGACAUGGCCGGGCUAGAAUGGUAUAAGAAGAAAUCAAAAGAUCUGAACAAGGGUUACUACGACUGCUUCAAAAACCAGGGGUCAAAAAGGGACAUUAAAAUUGAACAGUAUGGGGGACACCUCACAUUAUACUGGAAAGACAUGGUUGCACAAGUACAGAGGAAGCCCCAGAAGGAAGGAGCAACAUUUCGAACCCGUUGGCUCUAUGCAGGGACGGUUUAUAGAAGAAUGGUUGAACCACUGGACAUUGCUGCCUUCUACGUAGAGGGUGGAACAGACUACAUGAAGAAUGAAAGAUCUCUUCAUUACAAGCUGUUGCAGCAAUGGUAUGAGGAAGAUGUGAAACCCCCCUCUAAGGAUAAGCUUGAUUCCAAGAAGCAAAAGGUGUCUGGUAUCCUAACUGAGGAUUCUUGCUUUUGGGCACAUGUGGAGGAGGCUAUCUUGUCAUGCGAAUUGCUUAAGAGUGAAAACUGUACUCUUGAGCAGGAAAAAUCAUCAUGGGAUAAUCUGGUUAAGUUCGAGGAGUAUGUAAUGGAACAGAUUAACAACUAUGCAGUGUCCCCUGAGAUUUUCUUGGGGGAAAGCAGCUUCAUGAAAUGGUGGGGACUGUAUGAGGGCUACAUAUAUGCUCGCAGUAAUUCCCAUAGGUCACCAUUGAUCAGCUUUAUGAAGAACGGUAGUUAUACAGAGUAUCGUUAGAGGGGUAAUCCAGUUUGUGUGUUGUGUGUAUUGUUUUGUGAGCAUUCAAUGGAUAGAACUAGAAAGAGUGUGACCUUUUUCCUUUUUUUCUUCUAGUUGCUGCCCAUAUUCUCAGCACUAUUUUCUUCCUUCUUUUCCUCAGUUUUUUCUUAAGAAAUGAAUAUUAUGAUGUUGCUGGGAUGCACUUUCAUUUUUGUUCCAUUACAUUGUGUUUUAUUCAUAUCCUAAACAAAUAAAUGUAAACAAGAAAAUCAAAUAAGACUUCAAAGAGUCUGUUCCUUUUAAAGCAAGGGAAAAAAAGGACAUGUUUGUUUACUUCCACAGCUGGGUAGAUUCAACUCCACCAAAAUUGGCAACAACUUCCCAUUGAAAAAUUCCUUCUAAGCUUGAAUGACAUAAAACUAGAUAUGUUCCAGCUAGAAUGGUACAAAAAAGAAAUCAAAAGAUGAGCACAAUGGGUUAUUAUGACAGCUUUAGAAACCAUCUUACAACACAUCCAUCAGAAUUUAGACUAUUCAUAGAAACAUUCUUAACAUGUAAAUCUACUAUUGCCAUGCACGUCAACAUAGAAUUUCUAAAAUGAUUGAAUAAAAUAAAUAAAACAAAAGAAACCCUUCCAAGAGAAUUUCAUAAUCUAAUGUCAAAUCUAUUACGAAGAUGAACAUGUAAAAUUUAAGGUUUAUAAUCAAAGUCGACUUGAAUCUGAGUUUUAAAACCAAUUUGCAGUUUUUAAGUUUGGAGACUAGAUCUCUUAAACCAAUUAAAUGUAAAAAACUAAAAAGAAAACUUCUUCAAAUUUUGAAAUGAGAAUGAGAAUGCAAUUCCUAACUAGUUUCUUCAUCAAAAAUCCCGAAAAAAAAAAAAAAAGAAGAGAGAGAGAGACCAUAGACGCCAGUGUUUGGGUUUAGAACCACCCAAGAGAGAGUAGUCCAAUAUAUGGGCUUAAGAAAAUCCUCAUGGGCCUAAGCUAAGACUAGGAACAAUCUUGUAUCCGUGGUUGGUUUAGUAUGAGCAUGUGUACUGCGAAGGAAGUAGCUGAGAAUUGCAAUGGAAUUUCCAGUACUGCUUCCUGAACGAACAAAUCGCAUACCCAAGAUUUGGUCGUCAACGCCAUGCUGGGUGAGAACCGGGGAAGCAUCUUCGCUCGUUGACGAGCUUUUGUAGUCCUUCUUUAACAAUUAUAAGGCAUCUGAAUUCCCUUCAUCCUCCCACACCAUUGUUUUUGGUCUUGUUCUUGUUGCUUUGUGACUACGCAUCUCCAUGGAAGGAAGGAGGAUGAACCAAGUUCCUUUGUAUGCAUCAAUUUUACUGUUUUUUUUUUCCUUUUUAAUCUUUGGAUCGAAUCAUUGCUUAGUUCUUGCUUAAUUUCUCCAUUUUAUGUUGGGUCUUUGAUUGCAGGUUUAGCUCUGCGCGAGAACUGGGAAAUUUAAUUGUGACCUCCAAUCUAAUCGACUCUGCUUUGACUAAAAUUCUUGAGCUUCAAAGAGACCAAACAGCCUUGCCUUCCCCCGUUCAAUACAGAGUUUUUUAUCCAUCUCCCAAGUGCACAAUUGUAGCUUUUGUCUCUUCACCUGACUGCACUCAAAACCCUCUUCCUGGACAAGGAGAUUUAGUUCCCUCUCCUCUCUUUGACUUCCUCUGCACCGAAGAAUACCCUUCCGUCUCCAUUAACGGAGCCGCAUUAACCCUCUUUACCUCUCUCUACGAUCAUCUCUCUGGACUAAUAGAUGAGGUCAAAAUCUGAUACUUGUUUUAAUUUACGUUAACUUUUCGUUAACAAUUGUGAGACACGUAUAUAUAUAUAUAUAUAUAUAUAUCUUGUGGAUAAAAGGAAAGUUUACAAGUGAGAAUAGUGGCAUUUUUCUGACAGAUUUCACACCGUUGCUUGUUUUGCACUUGACUGUGAUUGAAGGUCGAUUAAUCAUCACUGGGCACUCGAUGGGAGGAUCCGUUGCUUCUCUCUUCACCUUAUGCCUGCUAGAAGUCAUUAAUAUAUCAAAACCCAAAUGCCGCCCCAUUUGCAUCACAUUUGGUUCACCCCUCAUAGGCGACUUUGGCUUCCAACACUCCAAUUGGAAUUCUUUCUUCUUGCAUGUAGUGUCCAACCAAGAUCUAGUCCCCGGACUCUUCCUCCCAUCCGGCAGAUCUCCUCCCA
rnacentral:lncRNA from 1 species